rnacentral:pre_miRNA from 1 species
AAGUAGGGCAAUCUGUCUUUAAGUAGGGAUGAAUUACUCCAAAAAAAAUGAAUCCUAGAUAGUUUUCCCUUCAAGUCAAGUGUCUUGU